UACAGAGGGGGGCAAGCGUUGUUCGGAAUUACUGGGCGUAAAGGGUGCGUAGGCGGCCUGUUAAGUCGAACGUGAAAUCCCCGGGCUCAACCCGGGAACUGCGUCCGAUACUGGCAGGCUUGAAUCCGGGAGAGGGAUGUGGAAUUCCAGGUGUAGCGGUGAAAUGCGUAGAUAUCUGGAGGAACACCGGUGGCGAAGGCGGCAUCCUGGACCGGUAUUGACGCUGAGGCGCGAAAGCCCAGGGGAGCAAACGGG
rnacentral:rRNA from 1 species